CGCCGGUGGCGGCCGCGCCCUCAGGGCUCGGCGGAGGGGGCUGGCGGCUGCGGACAGCCGGGCGGGGUGGCCCGGCCCGCUCUGGUUUGGGGCCACCGUCCGUUAUGGCCCCGGGCUGUCCAGGGCCUCAACCACAGCGCACCCGACACAGGGAUUCACUUCUUUUUCUUCCUAACCCUACAGUGACUCAGCCGUCCGCCUCGGGCUCCGCGUUGCCCAGAGUGUCCCCACCGCCGGCAGGGCCGCCCCACAGGCUCCUGCUCAGAUCUGCAUUUCUCAAAACCGCAUUAAAACACUCCCCGUGCAUUUCCAGAAUGGGAAGCGUGAGGAGCGAUCGCUCCCAAACAUCUCCCAGGCGCGUGCAAGAAGCGACCCGGCGCCCUUGGACACGGAGCUAAUGCGAUUUGAAAUACAAAAUUUAGCACCCUUAAACCGAGUUAGCACAGGGAAAUGACGAGAUGCGAGCUCAGAGCAGAAGUGCCAGCGCCGAGCCCGACCCUGCGGUGCCCACAUGCCACGUUGGAACCGCAGCCGCGAUUGCUGCCAGCAGCCGCGGGAGGGGGGUUAAUAAAGCAUUCACUAACUACAUCUAAAUUCCCUUAAAAAUCCUCUCAGGGAAAGCUUUCCUUCCAUGAAAAACUGACAGAGAUUAUACAAAAGAAAAAAAAAUAUAUAUAUAUAUAAAUAGGAUGGGAUUAAUUGAAAAUUCUACAUUGCCAAUAGCUGGGAGGGUUUUGUUUCAGGUUUUCCAAUAUGGAUUCUAAAUUUUAUCUAGAGGUAUUCUUAUAAGACUCAUUAAGAGGUUUUACAUUUAGAAUCCAAAGAAAGGAAAGUCACAAUCCCACAGUAAAUUAGCCUGGUUUUAAUCAGAUCUGAAAUUAUAUUCUCCUGCUAGAGGAUUUUGUGUCACUAGGAAUACAAUAAAGUAUGUAGGGUCAGGGAAAACGACCUCUCAGGAGGUCUGUAUUUGCUGUCAUUCUGCUUCCACAGCAGAUUUCUCUUGAACAGUUAAUAAAAUUUCCUCUCCUCAGGAUGAGGUUUCCAAAUUUGUAUUUUGUAUACAUAGCUGUGUUUUUUCUGAUUCAUUUAGCCUCAUCAACAACAAUAAAGAUACUGAAUCAGAACAAGCUGGCAAUUUUGUUGCUGAAACAUGGGAGAGAGCGGACUCCAGCUGGCUCUUCAGCAAAUAUAUUGGCCAGUUGACAGGAAUAAAACGGCAAGAAACCUGACACAGAAAACACGGGUGGCAAGAGGAGACAGCCAGCAGAGGCAGGGUGCCCAGCACAAGACACUUGGCCAUGCUGGACAUUCAUGACUCUCCAUGGAGGCUCUUGAAUCAGCAAGUAGCCAGGUCUGACUCACUGUCUGAAAGGGCACCUAAGAAUCAAAGUCCAUUUUUAAAUCUUCACAAUGCUCAAGCCAACAGGUGAAGGAAUCUAUUCGAGAAACAGAAACUCCAGCACAGAGAAACACAUUCACCUUUUCAAAGACUGUCUGCCAUUAGUAGACACAGAUGUAAGGAUUUUUUAAACUUAAUUCAAUAUCAAAGGCACAUGUUCUGUGUAAAUGUCAGACAUUUUUACUUGUUUUUCUACUAGAUUACUGUGGUUAAAAUAAACAUUUACAACAUC